CAUCCUAGAGCAUUCAGGGUCAAAAGGAUGAAUUAUGCGGUAACUAUGUACAUGAGUCUUAGAAUAUUCUUUUAUGAUAAUUCGAUCUAUUUAGAUAUUGGAAACCAUUGCUAGAUGGUAUUUAAUUAGUGUAGGAAUUAGUUCCUAUUCUACCAGUUUAGUGUUUGAACCUAUAAAGUUACACACAUAAGUCAGACACCAUAGGAAAGUAUUGGCUUAUAUUUAUGUGUCCAAGUUAAAAGUACUUGACUUGAUUGAAUAUAUAAGCUAACUUGAUUAAGAAUUAAGUUAUGGAUUAAACGGGAUUGAAG
rnacentral:lncRNA from 1 species